AAAUGAACUCUUGUCAGACAUAUGAUUAUAUCAAAAGAGUUCAAAUAUUUGACACUUUAUUCUCAUUUAUAACUUGGUUAUUUAACUACUAGUAUCAUCACAAAACUUAGAUAUCUUAAAAAUAAAUGAACCUGAUGGGUUCCUGACCAAGGGUUUACCUAAGUUGUGAAUAAAUGGAGAUUUUCCAAAGGGAAUCAUAUCAAGUAGCUUAAAAGAGUACAGAGCUACUCACUUCAUUUUAAUGUUACCCACACCUAUGAAAUCAAAAGUCUUCAUUUCCAGUUCCUUUUGUAGUCCCCACCCUGCAGGGCGUCCUGCUCUUCUGGGCACUUCUCUGUGAAAUCAGAAUAUGAGGUGCCUGGAUUCUCGGAGCUCUUCUCAGAUCACAGCCCCCGUCCAGCUCCACCAACAAAGGAAAGGGUGGGGCAAGGAGGCGAGGAGCUCUAGAGAAGAAUGAAUUUAUGUAAAAAUCUUUAUUGGUUUUUACUCUCCCAAAAUACCCCUUUGGCAAUAGAAAAGAUUCUCAAGCUAUUAUGUGUUUAGAAUUUAAGACUAAGAUGUAAAUGAUUGAAUUUUUUUUUGUUUGAUGUUGAUCUUUCACUCUCAGGUAACAUCUUUUUGUAUGCUGUAAAACCUCACUUAAUGGAAUCCUUAGCUAGAAUUUUCCUGCAAGUGGCUUUUGGAUGAGGCAAAUCCUUUAAAAUGGCAAUUUUGAUAUCUUUUUUUUGUUAAAUGAGAGCAGUUUUUCCUGUACACUUUGUCUAGCAUGGCUGUGUGGGACCCAAAUGACUUCACUUACCAGGUUUGCCAGGACAGAGCCCUCAGAGUCUCCUUAGGGCCCUGUCAGCAUCACAGAGGAGCCAGCUUCUUAUAGCAGAUGGGGUUACAGAAAAGGGAAGAGCUUCUGCAUGGAUCUGAUCACAGCUCUGGGGAGUGCCCGUGGGGACUGUGUGCCUUGCUUCACACAAGCUGAGCUGAGAAGCUCAAGCCUGCUCCUCAUAGCCAGGUCUCACCUUUCCUCCCCACUAGGCUCUCCCUCUCCUUGGUAAUUCGGGAGGGGAAUCACAGCCAACAUCCACUUCCUUUCACUCUCAUUUUCCUGAGGAAGAACUUGCUUUUCAAGAAGGAAAGGAACACAGUCAGGCCUAAGUAAAAUUUCAGAGUACUCAAUUUUUCUCUUCGGUGUCUUUCCACCUCCCUUUCUGAGUUCCGUUUCCGCUUCCUGGCUUCCUGUUUUCCCACAUGCCCAAUACAGUGGUGGUUGCUCACAUUCUCACUGCUGUGUGCUACCCUUUCCUCAACUUUCCCACUACAAAAUUACUCCUUUCAUCUCCCCACCUUAGCACCCGUUGUGGGUCAUCUAGUGAAGUGUUAGGAAUAAAACAAUUUAAAGAAACUAAUUUCACAGAUUUGCAUUUUAUAAAAGGAAAUGUGCUAAUCUAAAUGAAUUUAUGGAUUAGAUAAUUUGGAGGCCAUGAUAUAUGUUGAUAUCAUAUAUAUAUAUUCCUCUGGCUGAGAAGAGGUGACCCGUGAAUGUCUAGAUCUGUGCUGUCCAAUAUUGUAGCCACUAGCCACAUGGGGCUAUUUAAAUAUAAAUUAAAUUAGAAAUUUAAUUUCUCAAUUAUUAGCCACAUUUCAAGUGCUCAGUAACCACAGUGGACAGUACAGAUAUUGAACAUUUCCAUCAUUGCAAAAGUUCUACUGGAUAGCACUGGUCUAGAUCAUUGUUGUGGUCCAUGGACCAGCAGCAUCUGUAUCACCUGGGAGUUUAUAGAAAUGCAGAUCUCCUCAAGACCUACUGAAUCAAAAUUUUCCUUUUAACAGGAUUCAUUAAGUUAUUAGCACUGGCCUAGAUUUGUUUUAUCCCUCCUAGAUAUUAGGAAUCUGAGGUCUUCAAAAGGUCCUCAGAAUAGCUCACUGCCCAAUCCAUUGUUUCCUAUCCAUUCUCCAGCUAAUCCCAGAAAUGAGCUGAAACUCAUUUAUCACUCCAACUGAGCUUCCUUCUCAAUCAUUAUUCCUAUUUCUGGUUCCAGAUGAGCCCUACCUUCCCGGUUGUUAUGUUUUAGUAGCUAAGGUGGAAUACAGGAGAUUGGCUGACCAGCACAGCUGGCCUUUCUCCAACCCUUCAUCCCACGUCUACGUCACAAAUAUCUCCAUUUGCUCAGUUUGCUGCUCAUGUGGCAUUCUCAUUUGUUCACAACUUAAGUCACAAGGAACAUUUCAGAAGAGUAUGUACUGAGGUAAGACCGGGUCAGUCUCCUACCACUUGUACAUUUUCACUUUCUCUUACAUCUUAUCAGUAGAUUAUCCUGUUGACAUAGUUCAUGCUUGAGAACACACAGCAGUGCACACGCAUUACAUGAAUCAUUAGGCAUGCAAAAAAGAAAAAAGAACUGAAAUGAUUACAAGUAAAGUGAAUGUGUCGUCAAAGCCCUGAAAGAGGGCACGUUUUGCUAGACUAAAUGUUUUUCUUAUUACGCUAACUUAUCUUGAUUUUCAGAUAGUUAAUAAUUCAUUAAAAUAGUGCCUGAAAAAUAAUACAUCAUAUUCCUGAUCCUCAAAAUACAAAUUACUUAAUUCUGUAAUAAGAUCUUUCCCAAUGACUUAUUGUCAAUAAUCCUUCACUUAAUAAUUUUUGUAUAUUGAUAUAAUUUACCAAAACAUGACUGCCUAGAGAUUCUUUAGCUGAUUUUCAUGAAUAAAGUGGGCACCGCCUUAAUCUUCAAGGAAGUUGUUUUUAACAGGAAUUGAGGAAGGAAAUAUUCAUGCAAAGCUGUGACUUAGAAAAUUAUAGUGGAAGCCUCUAUAUAUCGUUUUUAACAUAAAUUAUCUAUUAUCUCUGACUGGGCUGACAACAUAAUGGACUUUCACUUAUACAGAUAUGAAUUCUUUACAGAUAUAGCUUUUCAUUUAAGCUAUAAAAACAUUGCAUCUCUCAACCCUGACAUCUAGGAUCUCUCCUGCUGCCUCCCCCCAAAAUGGACUUAUCUUGCAUUUCUCAGAUGCAAGUUGAAUAAAACAGUGGGUUUAGAGAUUGAUGAUACAAGUGGCAGUUUUCAAAGCACCGAAUUCUUUAAAUCAGCUGAAAAGCGUGAGAAGUGAAGAUUUCUCAAAUACUAUUGGUCAAUGGAAUAGCCUCCCCAAACGGUUCCCACUGGGCUUGGCUGCCACGCCUCUCUCUCUCCUCUCACUGCCCUACGCCAAGUGCCACGGGGCCUGGGACUUGUUCGUCUCUGCCAUGACAUCUCCACAGUGACUUUUGUAUAACGGUCUCUGUGUCAGAGAAAUAAUGUUGCCUUUGCAAUAGGAUGCCUUCCUAAAGAAACAACCAGAACUUUACAAAGGCAAUGACUAUUGGUUUUUAUAACAUGCAAAGCAUUAAUUUUUUAAUCUUCGUUACUAUUUUCUCUUUAUUAUUUUCUCCAAGUUUUGUUUAGGGAUAUUUCUGUUAGAAGAAAAAGCUAUAAAGGUGUAUCACUAUGGAGAACAGAGAGAUAAAAGACAGCUGGACUGUACCUAUUUGUAUACUUCCUUCUGUUAUUUUCAGGAAAAGAAGUUUAACAGAGUAACUGAGACUGCGUUAAACUCAGUAACGAUGUUUCAGAAAAACCCAUAUUACUAAUAUAGCCCCCCGGUACAUAGCUGUACACUCUUUGUUGUGGGUCCUUCUAGUUGUGGCAUGUGGGACGCCGCCCCAGCGUGGUUUGAUGAGCAGUGCCAUGUCCGCGCCCAGGAUCCAAACCAACGAAACACUGGGCCACCUGCAGCGGAGCGCACGAACUUAACCACUCGGCCACGGGGCCAGCCCCCAGACAUAGAGUUUUAUAUUGAUUUUACUGUCACAACAGCAAUUAUUGAAGGCAGGAAAAAAUAUGCAUGAGAAACAUUGUAUGGAAAUUAAAGGGAAAAGGAGCUUGAGUUGGUAAUUUAGAAAUGAAUACUUUGCACAUAGGUAUCUUUCACCUUCUAUUAUAGAAAUGCAAAACAUGUGUGAGAUGUAUGAUAGGCACAAUACCAAAAAAAUUAAAAAAUGUCACACUGGUGAGGUCUGAAACUGUAUCUGUAUCUUAUCCAAAAAUCUGGUCAUUUUAGGAAGCCCAUUCUACUGUUGAAAUUUAGAAAUCAGUUAAGCAGGUAGUUGGAUGACCUAACUGUUUGUGUUUUUUACAUGAGGCAAGUGUCUGUGCUUUCUCAACUGAGUGGUUUGUAUAGUGAGAGCUCAUCAGAAGGGCUUAGCUAGUUCCUAUAGACGAACUAUGGUAAAUGUAGAUAAGACCACACCAUGCAGACUAAAGAGAUUUUCAUGAACUUACUAAGCCUUGAACUUUGUUAGCAAUUUUCCUUUAUUUGAAACAACAAAAAUUUAUUAAAAUUUACAAUACUACAAAUAGCUGAAUUCUAUGAUUCUGGAGAUGGAAUAUGGUUUAGGUUUAUUGGGUUCCAUAACUAACUUUGGCGCUAGCUCACUCUGUCCUUUCUACGAGCUAUAUCUUUUGGUGCCUCAGUUUUCCCAAUUAGAAAUGGCACACAUUAUCAUCAAUUAUAAGUACUUGGUAAUUUUUCUUUUACAAAGAACCUAUGUAAGUGUGAAUUAUACCUAAAUUUCCCACUUCUUUCCCAUGGUCAUUUUUAGAUAUAAAGAAAGGCUUUGCUUUAUAGGGAAAAAUUGAAAGUCCAAAUUAAUGUCCCUUGAAGUUCAUUUUAAAAAUGAGAGUGAAGUUACAUUAGUACUAUCUGUACUAGAGUAGGUUAUGGGUAUUUUCAUCUUUGUACUACAGGUUCAUAUUAUUCAUUUUAAGAUAGACUAAAAACUCACUUCUAAAAUCUUCAGAAUUUUAGAGUAAUUUUAUUUUUCUAAACUUAUCCCAGUCAACAUUAUAUAGCACUGAAUUUUUUUUAAAAUUAAGACCUUCACAUCUUUGCUUAGAUUAAAAAUGUCUCCUUAAAUCAGUGGUUAAAAAAAUAGAAUAUGAGACUCUCUUACCUUGUUUUACCCUGUGACAUCAAUUACUCUCUACACUAAGUGAAUUCUGAAUGGUUUCUUUGCUCUUCGAUCCAAAGCAUGGAUUACUGACUACAUUCCCUGGCUGUGGAAUGGUACUCCCUUCAUGCAAAGUACCUUCAAACUUCCUGUAAAGAAAGUCAACUAGAGAUUGUCUUAAUUAUUGCCAUAAUGGAAAUCUGGGUACAAUUAAGGGAAAUAAAUUAGAAUAACCUAGUUAAAAUCAUUAAAUAUAGAUGGGAAUAAAGGAAUAUUGACUUUAUUUUUACCUGACAUUUAGAUUCAGUAAGUAGCUGAUCUUUGACUUAAAGAUUUCUUUGCUAAAUCUGGUAUUUAUUAUAGCAUAAUACGAUAACUUGGAGCUUCUGUUGCCUCCCCUUCCCCUAAAAAUGUUGGAAUUAUAAAAGGAUGUAAGCUGCGUAAGACAAGGGGAAAGACUGAAUUAGAAUUCACUUGCAUGAUAUUUUGUCUUACUGACACAACUUAGUUUUCAUGAUGGCACAUGUCUAAAUGAUGAUUCCAGAAUGGUUUGAUGCAGUGACUGGAAGAAAUCAUUUUUCUGGGAAUUUGCUUCCCACCAUGACCUGAUAUACAUACAGAUGACCUUAGCCUAAUUAAAAUUAAUUAUAAUUUUAAUUAGAACCUGCCUGUUUACAGAUUUCAAUUGUGCAGCAAUUUUUUAAUAUACAUAACGGUCAGGAUAGAAGAAUUGCAAAUUUGAGCAGUUCUUUCUUUUCCUCCCCUCCUUUUACUUGAAAAGCUUUCAGAAAGCUUUUGAGAGAUGACGCAGGUUUCAUAGCAACAUUCUGUGAUUAUGUUCUUCUCCCAAGAAAUUCAUAAACUAAAAUAUGGAACAAAACAAAUUCUUAAUCCUAAUCUUGUUUUGGAUUGUGUAAGCAAAAGCAUUCUAUAUAUCAUAGUCUUUUUUGUAUGUAUGCAGUUGCAUAUGUAUUUCAUUUUUUGUCCAUCUCAAAAAUUGGCAUUUUAGGUUUUAUUUCUAGUUAGUUGCAGUAAAGCAAUUAAUUCCAUUGCCUUAAUUCAGGCCUUUAUCAGUAGAGACCUUCACUAUUUUUCUCCCCUGUGCUUUCGCCAUAGUUUUUCAGCAACUAGUUUUCCUACCUUCAUUCUCUCCCACCUCUAGUCCGUCUUCCACAUCACUGACAGAGUGGUCUUUCUAAAGCACAAAUUUACUUUGUCAUGCCUUCGCUAAAAAUUCUUCAAUAGGCUCUCCUUCUUUAUAGCAUAGCAACCUAACUCCUUAGGAUGAUGGACGAGGAUCUCUAUGACCUUGCCUCCUCCUGCCUUUUUUAGCAUCUUCACUCACCAUUUCCUCUAGAGACCUUUUGUAAUCCAGAAAUUUGGAACUACUAACAAUUCAGUACCUUGGCAUAAUCACAUGGUGUAGUUCAACUCAUUCAAGACCCAGUUCAAAUUUAACUUUCUGUGAAGCUCUACCUGACUUCCCCAGGCACACUUAAGUAUUUCAUCCCUGCUCCAUAGUAUUUUGAAAUUUCUUCUGUUAAAAUAACAUCAUAAUUUAAUAUGUAUAUGUGUGUAUAUCUAUAUCUAUUACUCUCUCCCCCCACUGAAUUUCUCUGUCUUUGUAGUCACAUAAUAGGACUUUAAUAAAUGUUUUUGAAUGAAUGAAGGUAAUAUAAAACCAAAAUUUCUCUAUAUUUUUAUACUUUGACAAAUAAAAGCUUAGACUUCACUGAGAGUCCACAUGAGGAGUGUGUGUAUUCAUGAGCAGGUGAGCAUGCAUGAGCUCUGGGCAAACCAACAGAAGAUCAACAACAGAGAAGAGCAGCUGCUUUGUGAAGGAUGAUCAUCUGUUAGCUGCUUAUGAGAAAUAUUUGCCAAACCUGAAUUCUUGUGUCUAAAAGGAGGCUUACAGAAUUUUCACGUAACUACCAAAUUUUUAUUUGUAAUUCACAAAUAUGCCCUAAAGAUUAUCCUUCUCUUUUGCAGACCUUCAGUGUAUACCAUCCACAUAAACACAUACACUGAUUACUUACACAAAAUAAUGACUUGAGAAAGAAUAAAACACAAUAGUGAAGGUGAAAGUUUCUUAAAAGUAAUAUUCAGCCAGAGAUAUAGACUGAAUUUGUGUGAUUUCAGGUCAUUUGUAGUUAAUGAUGAUUGCAUGUUUUAUGAUGUAAAUGUAGGAAGGCUUGUUUGCUACUGUUAUCACUCCUUCCAGAACAUAAAGAUUAAAAACAGAAUCUAUUUUUCUUUUGUGAUUCUAUAAAACCUUUCUACCAUGUCCCCAAAUUAUGAUAAAGAUGAUCACAAAAUGCUCUUUAAAACUUAAUAAUUUCUAAAAUUAAAUAGUGGUAAAAAAUGCAUGUAGUUAAAUACACUCUCCCUUCACUCAAUUGAUGGAUAUUUUUCUACCUGCUCUAUCCUUGGCAUUUGAUGAGAUGCUGGGGAUGCAAAUAAAGUAUAACUCUUAUCUGUUAUAGUUCAAUUUGUUUUGCUAAUUAUUUUCCUACAGUCUGUUUACAAAAUUGGGAGGACAUUUUUUAAACCAGGUGUUUCUCAGGUUAUUUCACAGAAGUGGUCUCCUUCCACCCAAAAAACUAACCAAAUUCUCUAUCAUAAAGAAUUAAUCUCAUUUUUAUGUCCACAAUUUUUUGUAUUUUCAGAUCAGCCACAAAUAAUCUUUGACUAUCACUUGUCAAGUACAUCUUUCAUCAAUCCUGUAGAACCCCAUUUCCACAACCCUAGGUGCUAUGUGUGAUCCAAGCGACUAAUAGAUUUGAAGAAUGUGAGUUAAAUUUCAAGUCUAUUUUACGAAUGCAUAUCCUCAUUAAUAACACAUACACCAAAAUAUAUGAGGUGUGCAUUGUAAACCCACAGUAGAGGGGACGAGUUGUAAAGUCAUGCUUUCCAGUAUACUUCAAAGGCUCCAUUUGCAGUUAUGGGUUGAUGUUUCCACCUCAGUUAUUUUUAAUGGGGAGUAGGGAGUAAUAUUUAACUGGUAGCAUUCUUAUCUAAGCAUAUAAUAAAUAUACUGCUAGUAUUUAUGUGCCACACUGCAGUGAUAUAGAGAUGAAACAAAACAAACAUAUUUGAGGUAUGAAAAAUUAACUCUCUGAAUAUUUAUUGAUGGUUAGGGAACAGGGUUCCUUUAUGAGAAGGAAAAAACUGUCUUUAUCUUUAUUGUCUGUAAGUAUGGAAAAAACCUUACUUGUAUGUAUAUUCACAUUUUGGUAGGCAUAUUUGGAAGUCAACGUUUCCCAUCAGUAUAAAUACCGACCAUUUCUAUGUUCUCUAGCAAAAGGAAAUUCUUAGUUCGAUACAACUUUACUCUUGUUCGACGUUGUAAAAGGUCCACAAAGGAAGGAGGCUCAGAAGGCUGGACAUGUUACCCUUAUAUUUAGCACAUUGAUUUUAUCUUUCAAUAAAGAGAAUCAGUAAUUAUUUGCCUCCUGUUUAUCAUCAUGUUAAAAACAUAAGAGUAUAGUUACUUUUGUCUCUUACAUUGCAAAAGAUAGUUUUAAUUUAGGCUUUGCCAUAUUAUUUAUAGUUAAGAAUUUACUACAUUUUGGUAGUCUUUUAGAACUUAUAUCUGAAAGAUGCAGAUCAUGUCUGUCUAUUUAUUACACAGUGGGCUCUGUUUGCUGCAGAAAAGAGUGAAACUUUUAACUGCUUAGCACACUUGCCAGUGAGAUAUACCUGACAGAGCAGAGGUUAUAACUUUGGCUCUAAUUACUUUUAAUAAUGGUAAGAAAACGUGAGUUUUGUUUGUUUACAUGCUGUUUACAAUGGCAUAAUUUUUUAAAUGUAUACAAGAAUUGAGAUAUUUAUUGCAUACUAUUUUAAAGAUGUUUUAUGUGUUUUCACCUUUGGAAUAUAUUGUUACAGUUCCUUAUACAGAUAAUUUGGGUGGCUUUGUUAAUGUAGCUAGUAAUUUUUAUGACUACUAAGUGACCAGUUUUCCGUGCCUUUUAUUGUGGGGUGCAUGAUUAUGUAUUUAUUGUACGGAAGUCACUGAUGCGUGUAUUUUUGUACUUUGCUGAGAGUAAUGGUUGAUCUUAAUGUACAUGAUGAUGAGAGAUGCCUUUCCCAAAGGGCACUGCUUUGAGAUUGUCCCUCUGAAAUAAAGAGAAUGCAUUUGGA
ensembl:lncRNA